CAAAGUAAAGCUUAGUAGUUAAGCAUUUCAUUUACACUGAGGAGGGGUUCGUGCGAUUCGAAUUAUUUUGA
rnacentral:tRNA from 1 species